UGGAGGACUGAGAAGGUUGAGCAGCUUGUUGUUGCUGCUACAACUGGUUAUAACCUCCAAGAGUAACAAACAAACCACACUAAGUGGCUCUGUCACAAGCAGAGCUGAUGUGUGUGUUUGUGAACAAAAC